ACAAUAAUGUUAUUGAUUUAAUUACAAAUCAAACUAAUUUGUAUGGGUUGCAAGAGCACGGCAUAGAGCUGCAAUGUACUGGAGAUCAAAUAAAAAGGUAUAUCGGAAUUUUAUUGUACUUGGGUGUCAUAAAAGUACCUCAAUUUAAAAUGGCUUGGUCAAAAGAAUACAAGCUUUCUGCUAUAUCGGAUGCAAUGCCACGAGGAAAGUUUGAAAAAAUCAAACAAUGUUUACAUUUCAACGAUAAUACAAAACAACUAAAAAAGGUGAUUUGAACUAUGAUAAACUGUACAAAAUACGCCCUUUACUUGACAUUCUCAAAAAAGUUUUGGUAAACUACCCCAAGAAGAACAUCAAAGCGUUGAUGAGCAAAUCAUUGCGUACAAAGGCCAAUCGUCUUAUAAGCAAUACAACCCAGCUAAGCCUCACAAAUGGGGUUUAAAAAUGUUUACGCGCUGGAACAUCUGGAUUAGUUUAUGACUUCACACUGUAUGUUGGCGAAGGCACUUGCCCAAACUUUGGAUUGGGAAUAUCUUCAGAUGUGGUAUUAUACUUAUCAAAAGGUCUUCCCAAAGGCAAACCUUUCAAGCUGUAUUUUGACAAUUGGUUUACGUCAGUUAGUCUCUUGGUUGCAUUGAAGGAAAAUGGCAUAUUUGCAACCGGAACUAUCCGCAAAAACCGCAUAAGCAGCUGUAGACUUCUUUCAGAUGCAGAAUUGAAAAAACGUGGAAGAGGAUCAUUUGAUACAAAAUAUGAAGUAAACAAUAAUCUGAUAUGCGUCAAAUGGUUUGAUAAUAAGUCGGUUCAACUACUAUCUUCGUAUGAAGACCAUCAGCCAGUUGGAAUGUGCAAACGAUGGAGUCCUAAAGAAAAAGUUUACAUUGAUGUUGUAAGGCCUGCUAUCGUAGGCUCUUAUAACAAGGGUAUGGGAGGAGUAGACUUAGCGGACAUGCUUAUGGAGCUAUAUAAAAUAAACCACCGUUCAAGAAAGUG